rnacentral:rRNA from 1 species
CCUACGGGAGGCAGCAGUGAGGAAUAUUGGUCAUUGGACGAGAGUCUGAACCAGCCAAGUAGCGUGAAGGAUGACUGCCCUAUGGGUUGUAAACUUCUUUUAUAUGGGAAUAAAAUGUUCCACGUGUGGGAUUUUGUAUGUACCAUAUGAAUAAGGAUCGGCUCACUCCGUGCCAGCAGCCGCGGUAAUACGGAGGAUCCGAGCGUUAUCCGGAUUUAUUGGGUUUAAAGGGAGCGUAGGUGGAUUGUUAAGUCAGUUGUGAAAGUGUGCGGCUCAACCGUAAAAUUGCAGUUGAAACUGGAAGUCUUGAGUACAGAAGAGGUGGGCGGAAUUCGUGGUGUAGCGGUGAAAUGCUUAGAUAUCACGAAGAACUCCGAUUGCGAAGGCAGCUCACUGGACUGCAACUGACACUGAGGCUCGAAAGUGUGGGUAUCAAACAGGAUUAGAUACCCGGGUAGUC